rnacentral:rRNA from 1 species
UACGGAGGGUGCAAGCGUUAUCCGGAUUCACUGGGUUUAAAGGGUGCGUAGGUGGGCAGGUAAGUCAGUGGUGAAAUCUCCGGGCUUAACCCGGAAACUGCCAUUGAUACUAUCUGUCUUGAAUACCGUGGAGGUGAGCGGAAUAUGUCAUGUAGCGGUGAAAUGCUUAGAUAUGACAUAGAACACCAAUUGCGAAGGCAGCUCGCUACACAAUUAUUGACUCUGAGGCACGAAAGCGUGGGGAGCAAACAGG